ensembl:snRNA U6 U6 spliceosomal RNA
GUGCUCACUUCAGCAGCACAUAUGCUAAAAUUGGAAUAUACAGAGAAGAUGAGCGUGGUCCCUGCGGAAAGAUGACAUGAAACUCAUGAGGCAUUCCACAUUCUU